rnacentral:lncRNA from 1 species
CACACAUAAUAUGUCAUAAUGAAGCCGGUUCUAAUGCCACUAUUAGAAAAUAUAGAUGAUUUUAUGCAUGUACUUCAAAAAUUUUUAAAAUAAAAUAUAGUAGAAGACAACUAGAUUAAUCAUAUUAACCUCAUAUGCAUAUGAUCUAAUCAUCAAAUCAACCUACUCUAUGAUUUAUGACAUGAUAUAUUGCAUAUAAAAUUUAAAAAUUAGCAA